GCCUUCGUGGUGUAGUGGUCAGCACACUGAGCCGGUAUUUCAGAGGUCCGUGGUUCGAUUCCUGGCGAAGGCG
rfam:Stegodyphus mimosarum contig25413, whole genome shotgun sequence.